rnacentral:rRNA from 1 species
UACGAAGGGGGCUAGCGUUGUUCGGAUUUACUGGGCGUAAAGGGCGCGUAGGCGGUUUUGUAAGUCAGGCGUGAAAGCCCCGGGCUCAACCCGGGAAUUGCGCUUGAUACUGCGGGACUUGAAUCCAGGAGAGGAUGGCGGAAUUCCCAGUGUAGAGGUGAAAUUCGUAGAUAUUGGGAAGAACACCGGUGGCGAAGGCGGCCAUCUGGCCUGGAAUUGACGCUGAGGCGCGAAAGCGUGGGGAGCAAACAGG